UGAAAUGCGAAAAGUAAUGCGAUUUGCAUGAAUCUGUGAGUCAUCAAGUCUUUGAACGCACCUUGCACCGUAUGAGCAAUCGUACGGUAUACCUGUUUGAGAAUCGUAAAACUCUCUCUCCACCAGUUGGUGGGGAUGGAUUUGUCGGUUGUGCGAGCCUUGUGCUCGUACUCUGAUCAAAAGUAGUAGGUUUGGAUCAGGCUAGUGGCCUGGGACAUUGUGUGCUAGAGACGCUGCUUUAAUUAGUUAGUCUUCUCACAAUGCGUCCUGGGCCCUUUGAAAGCUAGCUCUGAUUGGCGACCUCUUCAGUGAACUGGGUGCAAACCCGGGACACAACCCCCCUUUUUGAUCUCAAAUCAGGUAAGGCUACCCGCUGAACUUAA
rnacentral:misc_RNA from 1 species